rnacentral:rRNA from 1 species
GACGAACGCUGGCGGCGUGCUUAACACAUGCAAGUCGAACGGAAAGGCCCUGCUUUUGUGGGGUGCUCGAGUGUCGCACGGGUGUGUAACGCGUGAGUAACCUGCCCUUGACUUUGGGAUAACUUCAGGAAACUGGGGCGAUUACCGGGUAGGAUCUCUUGCUGCAUGGUGGUGGUUGGAAUGUUUCGGCGGUGGGGGAUGGACUCGCGGGUUAUCAGCUUGUUUGUGUGGUAGUUGCUUACCAAGGCUUUGACGGGUAGCCGGCCUGAGAGGGUUACCGGCGACAUUGGGACUGAGAUACGGACCAGACUGCUACGGGAGGCAGCAGUGGGGAAUAUUGCGCAAUGGGCGGAAGCCUGAUGCAGAAACGCCGCGUGCGGGAUGACGGCCUUCGGGUUGUAAACCGCUUUCGCCUGUGACGAAGCGUGAGUGACGGUAAUGGGUAAAGAAGCACCGGCUAACUACGUG